rnacentral:lncRNA from 1 species
AGAUCUGUUCUUGAUUCAUUCCAACUUCUAUAUACACUGGAUAAAGUAUGGCCAGUUCCUGUUGAACAGUUAGUACAAUUCAUCGCUUAUUUAUCAUUGAAGCAUUUUUCUCCAGCUACAGUUCGAUUAUAUAUAAGUGGCAUUUCUUUUUCUCACAAGGAACGUAAUUUAGAGGAUACUACUAAGAAUUUUGUGGUAUCAAAAAUGCUUGAAGGUUUACACAGAAAUCACCCACAGAGAGACAAUAGGGCCCCGGUAACAUUACCAUUAUUACGACAGAUUACAGACG